CAUAGCGGCCAUAGCGGCGGGGAAACUCCUGGACUCAUUCCGAACCCAGAAGAUAAGCCCGUCAGCGUUCUUUGCUGUACUGCGUUGCGCGAGCACUCGGGAACCAAAGAUCGCUGCUAUGC
rnacentral:rRNA from 1 species